ACGGAAGGCAGCAGUGAGGAAUAUUGGUCAAUGGGCGAGAGCCUGAACCAGCCAAGUAGCGUGAAGGAUGACUGCCCUAUGGGUUGUAAACUUCUUUUGUUCGGGAAUAAAGGAGCCUACGCGUAGGCUUUUGCAUGUACCGUUCGAAUAAGCAUCGGCUAAUUCCGUGCCAGCAGCCGCGGUAAUACGGAAGAUGCGAGCGUUAUCCGGAUUUAUUGGGUUUAAAGGGAGCGUAGGCGGCCUUUUAAGUCAGCGGUCAAAUGUCAGCGCCCAACGCUGGCCUGCCGUUGAUACUGAUGGGCUUGAAUACACACAAGGAAGGUGGAAUUCGUCGUGUAGCGGUGAAAUGCUUAGAUAUGACGAAGAACUCCGAUUGCGAAGGCAGCCUUCUGGGGCAUGAUUGACGCUGAGGCUCGAAAGUGCGGGAAUCAAACAGGAUUAGAUACCCUGGUA
rnacentral:rRNA from 1 species